rnacentral:rRNA from 1 species
UACGGGGGGGGCAAGCGUUGUUCGGAAUUACUGGGCGUAAAGGGCUCGUAGGCGGCCAACUAAGUCAGACGUGAAAUCCCUCGGCUUAACCGGGGAACUGCGUCUGAUACUGGAUGGCUAGAGGUUGGGAGAGGGAUGCGGAAUUCCAGGUGUAGUGGUGAAAUGCGUAGAUAUCUGGAGGAACACCGGUGGCGAAGGCGACAUCCUGGACCGGUAUUGACGCUGAGGCGCGAAAGCCAGGGGAGCAAACGGG